ACUAAGCGUACACGGUGGAUGCCCUGGCAGUCAGAGGCGAUGAAGGACGUGCUAAUCUGCGAUAAGCGUCGGUAAGGUGAUAUGAACCGUUAUAACCGGCGAUUUCCGAAUGGGGAAACCCAGUGUGAUUCGUCACACUAUCAUUAACUGAAUCCAUAGGUUAAUGAGGCGAACCGGGGGAACUGAAACAUCUAAGUACCCCGAGGAAAAGAAAUCAACCGAGAUUCCCCCAGUAGCGGCGAGCGAACGGGGAGCAGCCCAGAGCCUGAAUCAGUGUGUGUGUUAGUGGAAGCGUCUGGAAAGGCG
rnacentral:rRNA from 1 species